rnacentral:rRNA from 1 species
UCAAUAAGCGGAGGAAAAGAAACUAACAAGGAUUCCCUUAGUAACGGCGAGUGAAGAGGGAUGAGCUCAAAUUUGUAAUCUGACGUGUCGGAAGGCCGUCCGAGUUGUAGUCUAGAGAAGCGUCUUCCGUGCCGGACCGCGUACAAGUUCUCUGGAAAGGGACAUCGUAGAGGGUGAGAAUCCCGUGUCGCGACGCGGAUCGCCGGUGCUAUGUGAUGCGCUCUCGAAGAGUCGAGUUGUUUGGGAAUGCAGCUCAAAGUGGGUGGUAAACUCCAUCUAAAGCUAAAUACGGGCGAAAGACCGAUAGCGAACAAGUACCGUGAGGGAAAGAUGAAAAGCACUUUGGAAAGAGAGUUAAAUCAGUACGUGAAAUCGUUGAAAGGGAAACGCUUGGACUCAUGUCACGUCCACCGCGAAUUCAACUUCCGUCUUUGCGGACGGAGGUGCACUUUCCGGUGGACGGGUCAGCAUCGAUUUCGAAAGUCGGACGGGGUCCCAUGGGAACGUGACACUCCCUCACGGGAGGUGUGUUAUCAGCCCGGGGACUCGGCGACGGUUGGGAUCGAGGAACGCAGCGCGCCUUCACAGGCCGGGGGUAAUAACCCACGUAACGCGCUUAGGAUGCUGGCGCAACGGCU